rnacentral:rRNA from 1 species
GCGUGUGUGAAGAAGGCCUUCGGGUUGUAAAGCACUUUCAGUCGUGAGGAAGGUGGUGUAGUUAAUAGCUGCAUCGUUUGACGUUAGCGACAGAAGAAGCACCGGCUAACUCCGUGCCAGCAGCCGCGGUAAUACGGAGGGUGCGAGCGUUAAUCGGAAUUACUGGGCGUAAAGCGCAUGCAGGUGGUUUGUUAAGUCAGAUGUGAAAGCCCGGGGCUCAACCUCGGAAUAGCAUUUGAAACUGGCAGACUAGAGUACUGUAGAGGGGGGUAGAAUUUCAGGUGUAGCGGUGAAAUGCGUAGAGAUCUGAAGGAAUACCGGUGGCGAAGGCGGCCCCCUGGACAGAUACUGACACUCAGAUGCGAAAGCGUGGGGAGCAAACAGGAUUAGAUACCCUGGUAGUCCACGCCGUAAACGAUGUCUACUUGGAGGUUGUGGCCUUGAGCCGUGGCUUUCGGAGCUAACGCGUUAAGUAGACCGCCUGGGGAGUACGGUCGCAAGAUUAAAACUCAAAUGAAUUGACGGGGGCCCGCACAAGCGGUGGAGCAUGUGGUUUAAUUCGAUGCAACGCGAAGAACCUUACCUACUCUUGACAUCCAGAGAACUUUCCAGAGAUGGAUUGGUGCCUUCGGGAACUCUGAGACAGGUGCUGCAUGGCUGUCGUCAGCUCGUGUUGUGAAAUGUUGGGUUAAGUCCCGCAACGAGCGCAACCCUUAUCCUUGUUUGCCAGCGAGUAAUGUCGGGAACUCCAGGGAGACUGCCGGUGAUAAACCGGAGGAAGGUGGGGACGACGUCAAGUCAUCAUGGCCCUUACGAGUAGGGCUACACACGUGCUACAAUGGCGCAUACAGAGGGCGGCCAACUUGCGAAAGUGAGCGAAUCCCAAAAAGUGCGUCGUAGUCCGGAUUGGAGUCUGCAACUCGACUCCAUGAAGUCGAAUCGCUAGUAAUCGGUGGAUCAGAAUGCCACGGUGAUACGUUUCCAGGACUGUACACACCGCCCGUCACACCAUGGGGAGUGGCCUGCAAAAGGAGUAAGUAGUUUACUUCCGGGGUACGCUUACACUUGUGUUCAUGACUGGGGGUGAAGUCGUACACGAGGAUACACGAAU